rnacentral:rRNA from 1 species
CACGCNGUAAACGCUGAGUGCUAGGUGUUAGGUCCUUUCCGGGACUUAGUGCCGACGCUAACGCAUUAAGCACUCCGCCUGGGGAGUACGACCGCAAGGUUGAAACUCAAAGGAAUUGACGGGGGCCCGCACAAGCGGUGGAGCAUGUGGUUUAAUUCGAAGCAACGCGAAGAACCUUACCAGGUCUUGACAUCCCGAUGCCCGCUCUAGAGAUAGAGUUUUACUUUUUGUACAUCGGAGACAGGUGGUGCAUGGUUGUCGUCAGCUCGUGUCGUGAGAUGUUGGGUUAAGUCCCGUAACGAGCGCAACCCUUAUUGUUAGUUGCCAUCAUUAAGUUGGGCACUCUAGCGAGACUGCCGGUAAUAAACCGGAGGAAGGUGGGGAUGACGUCAAAUCAUCAUGCCCCUUAUGACCUGGGCUACACACGUGCUACAAUGGUUGGUACAACGAGUCGCAAGCCGGUGACGGCAAGCUAAUCUCUGAAAGCCAAUCUCAGUUCGGAUUGUAGGCUGCAACUCGCCUACAUGAAGUCGGAAUCGCUAGUAAUCGCGGAUCAGCACGCCGCGGUGAAUACGUUCCCGGGCCUUGUACAC